ACGCGAAAGUCCCCUUCGGGGGACAAGUAGAGUGGCGCACGGGUGAGUAACACGUAGGUAAUCUACCUUCGGAUGGGGAAUAACAACCGGAAACGGUUGCUAAUACCGCAUAAUGCAGCGGCACCUAAUGGUGACGGUUGUUAAAGCGGGGGAUCGAAAGACCUCGCGUCUGAAGAGGAGCCUGCGGCGGAUUAGCUAGUUGGUAGGGUAACGGCCUACCAAGGCGACGAUCCGUAGCCGGCCUGAGAGGGCGGUCGGCCACACUGACACUGACAUACGGGUCAGACUCCUACGGGAGGCAGCAGUCGGGAAUUUUGGGCAAUGGGCGAAAGCCUGACCCAGCAACGCCGCGUGAAGGAUGAAAUCCCUCGGGAUGUAAACUUCGCAAGAACGGGAAGAAUAAGUAGGGGACAAUACCCCCUAUGAUGACGGUACCGUUUGUAAGCUCCGGCUAACUCCGUGCCAGCAGCCGCGGUAAUACGGGGGGAGCAAGCGUUG
rnacentral:rRNA from 1 species